rnacentral:misc_RNA from 1 species
GAAAUGCGAUAAGUAAUGUGAAUUGCAGAAUUCAGUGAAUCACCGAAUCUUUGAACGCACCUUGCGCUCCUUGGUAUUCCUUGGAGCAUGCCUGUUUGAGUAUCAUGAAAUCUUCAAAGUAAAUCUUUUGUUAACUCAAUUGGUUUCUACUUUGGUAUUGGAGGUCUUUGCAGCUUCACACCUGCUCCUCUUUGUUCAUUAGCUGGAUCUCAGUGUUAUGCUUGGUUCCACUCGGCGUGAUAAGUUAUCUAUCGCUGAGGACACUGUAAAAGGUGGCCAAGGUAAAUGCAGAUGAACCGCUUCUAAUAGUCCAUUGACUUGGACAAUACUUUUAUGAUCUGAUCUCAAAUCAGGUAGGACUACCCGCUGAACUUAAGC